UCAAGGUAGAAAGAGCACACGAUGGAUGCCUUGGCGCCAAGAGGCGAUGAAGGACGCGGCUACCUGCGAAAAGCUACGGGGAACUGGACGCGAGUGUCGAUCCGUAGAUAUCCGAAUGGGGAAACCCGGCAGACGUCAUGGUCUGUCAUCCCGGACUGAAUACAUAGGUUCGGGAAGCGAACGGAGGGAACUGAAACAUCUAAGUACCUCCAGGAGAAGAAAUCAAGAGAGACUCCGCUAGUAGUGGCGAGCGAAUGCGGAAUAGCCCAAACCAGCAGGUUUCCUGCUGGGGUUGUGGGGGCCCGACGUGGGACCGUAAGGACUAGCAGAACGGCCUGGGAAGGCCGGCCAGAGACGGUGAGAGCCCGGUAUGCGAAAGUUCGAGCGGCCCUAGGGAUUCCCCGAGUAAGGCGGGACACGAGAAACCCUGUCUGAAGCUGGGAGGACCAUCUUCCAAGGCUAAGUACUCCUUGGCGACCGAUAGUGCACAAGUACCGUGAGGGAAAGGUGAAAAGAACCCCUGCGAGGGGAGUGAAAAGAAUCUGAAAUCGUGUGUUUACAAGCAGUCGGAGAGCUAUGGCGCAAGCAAGGCUCGACGGCGUACCUUUUGUAUCAUGAGCCAACGAGUUGUGGUCGGCGGCAAGGUUAAGCCGGAAGGCGAAGCCGAAGCGAAAGCAAGUCUGAUAAGGGCGUGAAGUCGUCGGUUACAGACCCGAAACCUUUGUGAUCUAUCCAUGAGCAGGCUGAAGCGCGGGUAAGACUGCGUGGAGGGCCGAACUCACCACAGUUGAAAAUGUGGGGGAUGACUUGUGGAUAGGAGUGAAAGGCUAAUCAAACUGGGAGAUAGCUGGUUCUCGCCGAAACAUAUUGAGGUAUGGGGUCAGUCGAUUUGCACGGGGGGUAGAGCACUGGAUGGGCUAGGGGGACCACAAUCUUACCGAACCCAACCAAACUCCGAAUACCCGUGACAACAGGCUGGCACUCAGGCAGUGAGAGCUAAGUUUCAUUGCCGAGAGGGAAAGAACCCAGACCGGCAGCUAAGGUCCCCAAUUCAUCACUAAGUGGUAAAGGAUGUGGGAGCGCUCAGACAGCCAGGAGGUUGGCUUAGAAGCAGCCAUCCUUUAAAGAAAGCGUAACAGCUCACUGGUCGAGCGAACCUGCGCCGAAAAUUCAACGGGUCUAAGUGAUGAACCGAAGCUCCGGGUCUGCCGAAAGGCAGGCGGUAGGCGAGUAUUGUCUGUACGGUGAAUACGUACGGUAACGAGCGUUGGAGUGCAGACAAGAGCUGAUGUUGGCAUGAGUAGCGAUAAACCGGGUGAAAAACCCGGUCGCCGUAAACCCAAGGGUUCCUGGGUAAAGAUCAUCUUCUCAGGGUCAGUCGGUCCCUAAGGCGAGGCAGAAAUGCGUAGUCGAUGGGAAGCAGGCGAACAUUCCUGCACCAGCACGGAUGGUUUUGUGAGAUGGGACGGAGGAGGAUAGUCGAGCGACCUGAUGGAUGGUCGUUCAAGCCGGUAGGCGGUCUGCGUAGGAGGCAUCUGGCCACAAACGCGCGGGCAACGCCGAGAGGUGAUGAGGGUCGCCGCAAGGCGGACAACUCGAUGAGUCCACGCUUCCAAGAAAAGCAUCGCACAAGUCAACCGCUGUGCUGACCGUACCGUAAACCGACACAGGUGGGUGGGGAGAACAUCCCAAGGCGCUUGAGAGAACUCGGGUUAAGGAACUCGGCAAAUUGACACCGUAACUUCGGGAGAAGGUGUGCCCUUGAGGGUGAACUGCUGGCGCAGGGAGCCUUUGGGGGUUGCAGAGAAUCGGGGGUAGCGACUGUUUACCAAAAACACAGGACUCUGCGAAGUCGCAAGACGACGUAUAGGGUCUGACGCCUGCCCGGUGCCGGAAGGUUAACAGGAGAUGUCAGCGCAAGCGAAGCAUCGAAUCGAAGCCCCGGUAAACGGCGGCCGUAACUAUAACGGUCCUAAGGUAGCGAAAUUCCUUGUCGGGUAAGUUCCGACCUGCACGAAUGGCGUAACGAUGGCCACACUGUCUCCACCCGAGACUCAGUGAAAUUGAAAUCGCUGUGAAGAUGCAGUGUACC
rnacentral:rRNA from 1 species